rnacentral:lncRNA from 1 species
UGAUGUCAGUUGACCAAGACCCCAUAUUUUCUAUUUCUCUACUUCAUCUUCUCUUUACUUUAUUUGAACAGAGGAGACAGAACUCACCAAAAAUGGUGAAAAGUCGGGCUGUCAUCUAUGUCACCACUGAUCAAGACAGAACGGCUCAUAUGGCCGUUUGAAUUUCAAAUCCCGCCCUGAAAUUAAGCCCUAGAUUUUUCAUUAUAAAUAAUGGUGUUUUGAGGCCAUUUGAGAAAAAACGGGGGCCGUUGCCUUCACCCUUCGAAACCAAAUUCUUGGCCGCUCUUCUCCUAUCUAAAAUUUACUCUUUGCCUAUUAGCUAUCUCCUAAAGAAAAGCUUUAACUACAAGUCUACAACACCUCUACUGUCUCUAUUUGGUAUUUACCAUAGCAGAAAUUUGGUUAUCCUUUAUUUAUUUUAGUCGAGUCUGCUUUUGUCCGAGAGGGAGGAGUAAAGUCGAGAUCGAAGUUCGAUAGCGCAUCCACGACCCUCCUCAGUUCACUGCCCUGCAAAAGGUACGUAUCUUCUCCUUUCGCUCUCAUUUUGAUUCUAAUUAGAGCAUGUUCGAUUCCUGGUGCGUGUUUGCUUCGAGGGUUGUUAGUUUCUAUUAAGUUUUUAUGUUUGGUGCUAUAAAAAUGGCUCUAAUUUAUGUUUGUUUAAGGGAAUGACUCUAUGACUAAAGUUGUUAGCAACAAUCCUUCAAGGAGAUUAUGUUCUGGUGUGUAUUGUUAGAAGCAUGCCUGACUGGUAUUUGAUAAAAUUCUCACAUGAAAAUAAAUACCCAUUUCCUUUUAGAUACUAUGAUUUUAAGAAGGAUUUUAUCAUGAGCUAGUCGUCUUGCAAAACAUUUAUUUGCUAUUGUAAAUUAGAACCCUUUUUGCCUAAACAUCAUGCUUAGGAUUUCAAUUAGCUUGUUUAAGAAUAGAUUUUGUCUAAAUGUACACUGUUAAAUGAAUACUUGAUUUACUUGUGUCUUCACACUUUAGACAGCAUGUCCCUAGGAGUUUAUGUUUUUACUCAUCGUGUAAAAAAUGAGAUCCCUUCUUUAGUGUGAACUGUAAGUGUUCAUGAAUGACUAUAAGCGAUUUGCUUACUUAAGGUAAUUUAAGAGGAUAAUACUUAGACAAUAAAUUAUUACUUAUUCAUUUAAGCACAGAAGAAACAUAUUCUUGUUGAAAUAUGAAUGUAUCUACUUUUCUUGCUUUUUAAGAGAUAGAAAAUAUGACUCUGGGAUUAGCAAAUGUAGUAUCAUGCCUAUAAGACAUUGAUGGAAAGGAGAUGAUAUGUGUAUAUCUAAUAUGUUAACCUGGAUGUGUUGAAAUUGCGUCCCCCAUGAUUUAGUUUAUGGAACGAGAACAAAAAGAAGUAGCAAUGAAUACAUUUUCUGUUAAUGGUAUCAAGUAAAGGUUUUCAUGAAUUCUUGUUUAGUUUGCAGUCCUAUUUCUUGGUCUAAAUUGUGAGCAUGUAUCACGUUUGGGAAAAACUUAUAUUUUACAUUAACUGAUUAAAUAGCAUGUGAUGAGGUAGUGAAUGAUUUGGUAAGAACUCUGUCAAAUGAUAUACCUAUUAGAAUUUUUAGUGAAGCCCCCUCAUGAGUUGAUAUAAUGCUUAGUGUUCUUUUAGCAAAGACCAUAUAUAUACCCUGUUUUCCUUAACAUUGUAACUGUUUGCGUUUGUCUCCUAGACUUUAAUAUAGGUGUCUUGUUUGUAGUUGAUUUUAUUUCGAACACAUUAAAUGGCUUUGAUUAGCGAACUUGUUUGUAGUUGAUUUUAUUUCGAACACAUUAAAUGGCUUUGAUUAGCGAAGAAUUAACACAAAAUUGACUUUAUUAGCAUGAAUUUCUGGUUUUAAAAGUUGUUUGCAAACUGGAUAACAUUGUGACUUUAUCCAUUUUAUCUCUUACUAUCAAUUUUAAAGAAUCAAUAGUUCGCUGCUCUAAUUUUUUAUCUUUAUUUCUUUCUCUACAUGUACACCCUGGAGCAAAUGGAGUCUUAAUUCGAGACUCUCGCAGCGGAGUCUCAUAGAGACUCAACGCUACCACCACCACAUGGAGUCAUUGCAUACCAUCUUCCUUAGAGCACCGGAUAGCGAGAAAAACAAGCGAAAUGCUUGGGGAAGCCUAUGGCAUCUUUCAUUCAUGCUAUUUGACAUUUACUUGUGUGAUUUAAGUUUAUCUCCAAUUUCUGGGAUUAUAUGUUAAAAUUCGUGUUAGCAUAGUAUGUUUACUCUUAUUGUCGAUUUGGUACUAUCUUAAUCACAUAAAUGUAGCCUUUAGAGUUUAGAUAUAGAAACUAAGAAACAUUUUUCUUAAAAUGACCCUUCCAAAACUUUUCUAAUGGCGAUAAUAAGCAUAAGAUGUUUUUCUAAAGAACACAUGUUAAAACUGUCUUUCUUUCCUUUAACAAUAUCCAACGUAGUAAUUUUUUUUUUUUUUUUUAAAAUCUCUUUCUUUUAGGGAUGUCUUAAAUUGUUGGUUUCAUCAAAUCAAAACUAGUUUCUUAAACCUAUUAGAUCCUUAAAACGGUUUAAACAUUUUUCUCAACUUUAAAUAGCUAAGUUAAAAAGAAGUCAGCCGAUA